GCAGAGGGUUUGGCCAGCCUGGGGCAGCUGUGUGCAUUCAUCAUCAGGGUGGCUCUCUCCCUGGUUCUCACGAGACUUUUCUGCAGCAACACCUCCUUGCUGGGAAUGCCUCCAGGUCAGAGAUUUUGCCUCCUCCAGAUGAGGAGACUGAGGAUCAGAGAUGUCAGAAACAGGCCCAAGAUCACACAGCCAAAUAGAAGCAAACCCAGGGGGAUAUGAUUUCCAAGGCCAUGCUCAUGUGCCCACCGUGCUAAAUUUGGAGGGAAGCUGGGGAAAGAAAGGAGGGCCAGGAUUGUGAGAAAUGGUCAUUUAGGACUUGAGAAAUGUAUAAACCCGGAAGAAUGAUCAGAGUGCCUCCUCCGCUGAAAAUCCACAGCCAGGCAUGGACCCCUCCCCACCACCUCCUACUAUGGUACUUAAAGACCUCACCAUGAAAAACUGGAUUGCAUAAAGGACUGCUCCUGGACAGAGACCCCUGGCUUGUUAUAUUUGCACAACUGGACAGUUUUCAUGGCAUAGAUUGGAUGGACUCUGUCAGUGACAGGAGGCAAUGUCCCUCCUGAAGGAGGGAAGGGAGUCUCUUCACUAGCAAAUACUCCAGCCAUUGGGGAAAAAAAAAAGAUCCUGUGAUUCCAACCAUGGAACUGCUACUCAAAACAACUACAAGAAAGAGGAAGUAGAGACCACGCGAGGUAUUUCCGUGUAAGACUGUUCCACCUUGAGAAAAGAAGCAAAAUGUGGAAAUGGGUCCUUCGCUGGAGAAUGGAUUAAAGAGUCUUUGGUCUCUUUCUGAAUUGUGCUACUUAAUUUAUCAUCACCACCAUCAUCAUCAUCUUUGUUGUCAUCAUCUCCAUCACCCGUGCUUCCUACAUGCCAGAAGUGUUGUGUUCCCUGGUUGAUCUCAUUUAAUUCUUCUGACAGCAAUAUGAGAAUCACCAUGGAAACCACAGCCACAAAUCCUGACAGCUCAAAUAUCACAAGUAGUGCUGAUAAUUGAUGGCAUGAAUAUCUGACAAGAUGAGAAAACAGAUGAGCUGAUGAGUAACUUGAUUGGUCUACACCAGAACUUUUCCACCAGGGGCAAUUCCCCUCUCCUGCCAUUCAGCAAUGUCUGGAAACAUCUUUAAUUCACAUGACCUGUGAUGAUAGGUAAUUAUAAAGCCAAAGGACGCUGCUAAGUAUCCUACAAUAUAUUGAAUGGCCUGGAAACAAGGAUCAAUUCAUCCAGAAUAUCACUAAUGCUGCUAUUAAGAAGCCUUGAUUGACAUCGUUCAGAAUAUAGCGUUCUUCUGGAAGCUGUUAUUGAAUCAUUGGUGAACACAUGACUUACUCUGACCCAAUCAGACUAAAGGAGAAGGUUUUGGGGAGACGCUACGUUCACUCAUUUCUCUCCUGCUGGGUGUGAACAAGGAGCAGCAGCCUGAUAUCCAGGGGCAGCCGUCUUUUAUAUUGAGAAUAACCAACCUUUCCACAAAGGACAGCAGAAUGGAAGGGCUGGAAUAACCCCUGUGCUUAAUGAGGUUACUGAGCAGCAUUGAACCGUAUCUCUCCUGGAACCCAAACCAUUUCUAGACUUUUAGUUAUCUGAAGCAAUGCAUUCAUAUUGUUUAAGCCCGAGUGAGUGAGUGUUAUCUGUUUCAGGCAGCUAAGUGUCUACCCAACACACUUGGGGAAUUAUAGGCAACAUCUGGAAAAUUCAGCAAAGACUCUUUCACGUUGUCAGAUCCCUCAUCAGAAAUUCAUGCUUCUCCCUUCUGGCUGAACUUUGUCUUCAGAGGAGAUGUGGAGACACCGUCUUUAGCUUGUUCUCCUUCCGAAGGAACAUACACUAAGUAGGGACUUCGUGGGCUCCGUCGACAAGCAGUUCGAGUCCAAUGCCAUGUGCCAGGGAAGAAGGGGAAGGACAAAGAGGGAAACUGCCAUCUAGGUGGAAACAAAGAAUACUAUAUACAUGGAGAAAUCCGAGAGAUGAGCUGUGGGACUCGGUGGUGACUUACAGGAAUUGAAAGGGUUGGGCCAGGAUGAAGGGUCGACAGAUCAAAACAUGGAUUUGAUGGAGCUAAAUCCCAGCUACUAGAUAUUUACACAUGUACAUGUGGCUCAUAUUACGUCUUUGUUGGAUGCCAAUGCUCUUGAGGCCUUUGCUGAAUGAACUCAUGGGCUAAUCGAGCACCACGGAGAUAUUCAAGUCCACCUCUCAUUUCAUGAAUGAUGAUCUGAGAGCUAAAGUUCUCCCAAACCUCACACCUGGCUGGACAAGAACUCUGGUUGGCCUGUGCUCUCAGCCCGUGGCAGUUCCAGUACACAUUUGGACCCAGGCUCCUGGAUUUUGACUGGCUCUUCCACCUGCUCACCUGCUCCAGCCCUGAGGCAAGAAUGGCUGUGCUACCCAUGUCACCACACCUGAAGCACCCAGCUGCCCUUCCAGGACCAGCCUCAAAUCCAGGUGGGUCAUUCCUGUUUCUCCCUCUUAUUACAAGGGAUCAGGCCCCUGCUUGGUCCAGUCAGACCUCUCCCCUCCUCCUAGCUCCAAACUUACCAUUCAUUCCUGAGCUAUCUCAAGCCACCAUACCAUUUGUGCUUUGUAAAUACUUGGUGGCAAAUUGUGACUGUUGUGAAGUUUGAAAAGAAAAGGGGAAGCAGUUGCAUUAAGGUGGAGCCAUCUGCCAGGAGGGGCUCUAUAACCUUAACAUGGACACUGGGCUUCUUGCCACUUUGUAUGGUUGUGUAGAACGACAAGUUGCCUUUAAUGUGUAGAGAAAAUAUCUAGAAAUACAUUAUUUUCCAAAAUCCAAAUCAACUCUGAGUCUUCCACAAUGCUUCUAACUUCUGCAUUAAUUCAAAUAAUCCAGAUAUGUGGAGCAUGUAACAUAAAGCCAUAGUCUCUUUCUGGGAUCACUUCUGCAAUUUUCUCAUCAAAAGCAUUCUCUAUGGGUACCAAACUCAUAUUGACAGCUGGUGGAUGGCUUGAAUUCCUUCUGUCAUUAUUCCACACUAACACACUGACCAAUAUGGAUCAGCUUGGAAAAGCAAUCUAGGGGGACCCUCUAAUGUAAAAACUCCAAGUAAAAGUGUUAGAAUAUAAUCUAUGGUGGCAGCUCAGCUAUUGAUGUUGUUCAGGCUUAGAGGGCUGAAUCUGAAUCUGAGGCUGCAUCUCAGAUGACAUCACCAGGGUAUCAAGGGCAGCAGUUAGUCCUACCAUGUGCCAAUGCUGAUCUAUCUAUAAUGGCUUCCUAGACCACUAUGCUAACGUGGGAGGCCCAGUCUGGGCUGAGUGAGAAGGAAUGCAAUGAUCGAUUAGUCAUGUCUGCCAUGGGCAGGACAGCAUAGUGGUUAAUAGCCUGGGUGCUGUAGUCAGAUAGAAGUUCAGGUUCUGUCUCUGCCACUUAUUAACAGGGUGGCUUUGGGCAAGUUACCUAAUCACUUUUCAGGCUUGUUUUUCAUCAAUAAAAUGCAGAUAGGUUAUAGUACAGGAUUCUUAUGAGGACUGGUUGAGAUAAUUCAUGCCAAGUGCUUAGCAAUGUAUUUAGCACAGGGUACUCAAUAAAUAUUAGCUCCUCCCAGAGAGGGGACAAGGCAGCUUGUGCUCAGCAUAUCUGCCAUUCCAGGUUCAGGCUUAUAUGAGUGCUUAUAAGAAUUUAGCUAAGACAGCUUUUAAAGGCAUUUGUAGAGGCUAUUGAAACUUCUUUGUUCCUAGGAUAUUAGCAAAAGGUUUUCAGUUGAUGGUGGUAUUAAAAUUGUAUUCUAGGAGUUCCCAUCGUGGUGCAGUGGUUAAUGAAUCCGACUAGGAACCCUGAGGUUGUGGGUUCCAUCCCUGGCCUCACUCAGUGGGUUAAGGAUCCGGCAUUGCCGUGAGCUGUGGUGUAGGUUGCAGACGCGGCUCAGAUCCUGUGUUGUUGUGGCUGUGACGUAGGCUGGUGGCUACAACUCCGAUUCAACCCCUAGCCUGGGAACCUCCAUAUGCUGUGGGAGCGGCCCUAGAAAAGGCAAAAAAAAAAAAAAAA
rnacentral:lncRNA from 9 species